rnacentral:rRNA from 1 species
GCAGUCAGAGGCGAUGAAGGGCGUGCUAAUCUGCGAUAAGCGCCGGUAAGGUGAUAUGAACCGUUAUAACCGGCGAUACCCGAAUGGGGAAACCCAGUGUGACUCGUCACACUAUCAUUAACUGAAUCCAUAGGUUAAUGAGGCGAACCGGGGGAACUGAAACAUCUAAGUACCCCGAGGAAAAGAAAUCAACCGAGAUUCCCCCAGUAGCGGCGAGCGAACGGGGAGGAGCCCAGAGCCUGAAUCAGCAUGUGUGUUAGUGGAAGCGUCUGGAAAGGCGCGCGAUACAGGGUGACAGCCCCGUACACAAAAGCGCAUGUGCUGUGAGCUCGAUGAGUAGGGCGGGACACGUGGUAUCCUGUCUGAAUAUGGGGGGACCAUCCUCCAAGGCUAAAUACUCCUGACUGACCGAUAGUGAACCAGUACCGUGAGGGAAAGGCGAAAAGAACCCCGGCGAGGGGAGUGAAAAAGAACCUGAAACCGUGUACGUACAAGCAGUGGGAGCCCCACCACCAAAGCAUUUGCUGUACCGCGUUGACGGAGCGAAGCGACGUCAAACCGAUAAAACAGCAGUGUAAAGUGAGCCGCAGGGCGCUUUGCGCGACAGCGCAAAGGCAGGCGGUUUCGCGUAGCGAAAGCGAAUGCUUUGGGGUGGGGUGACUGCGUACCUUUUGUAUAAUGGGUCAGCGACUUAUAUUCUGUAGCAAGGUUAACCGAAUAGGGGAGCCGGAGGGAAACCGAGUCUUAAUUGGGCGUUAAGUUGCAGGGUAUAGACCCGAAACCCGGUGAUCUAGCCAUGGGCAGGUUGAAGGUUGGGUAACACUAACUGGAGGACCGAACCGACUAAUGUUGAAAAAUUAGCGGAUGACCUGUGGCUGGGGGUGAAAGGCCAAUCAAACCGGGAGAUAGCUGGUUCUCCCCGAAAGCUAUUUAGGUAGCGCCUCGUGAAUUCAUCUCCGGGGGUAGAGCACUGUUUCGGCUAGGGGGCCAUCCCGGCUUACCAACCCGAUGCAAACUGCGAAUACCGGAGAAUGUUAUCACGGGAGACACACGGCGGGUGCUAACGUCCGUCGUGAAGAGGGAAACAACCCAGACCGCCAGCUAAGGUCCCAAAGUCAUGGUUAAGUGGGAAACGAUGUGGGAAGGCCCAGACAGCCAGGAUGUUGGCUUAGAAGCAGCCAUCAUUUAAAGAAAGCGUAAUAGCUCACUGGUCGAGUCGGCCUGCGCGGAAGAUGUAACGGGGCUAAACCAUGCACCGAAGCUGCGGCAGCGACACUGUGUGUUGUUGGGUA